rnacentral:rRNA from 1 species
CACCUGUUCCCAUACCGAACACAGAAGUUAAGCUUCUUAGCGCUGAUGGUACUUGGCGGGAGACUGCCCGGGAGAGUAAGACGUUGCCAGUU